AUUGAACGCUGGCGGCAUGCCUUACACAUGCAAGUCGAACGGCAGCACGGGAGCUUGCUCCUGGUGGCGAGUGGCGAACGGGUGAGUAAUACAUCGGAACGUACCCUGAAGUGGGGGAUAACGUAGCGAAAGUUACGCUAAUACCGCAUAUUCUGUGAGCAGGAAAGAGGGGGAUCGCAAGACCUCUUGCUUUAGGAGCGGCCGAUGUCGGAUUAGCUAGUUGGUGAGGUAAAGGCUCACCAAGGCGACGAUCCGUAGCGGGUCUGAGAGGAUGAUCCGCCACACUGGGACUGAGACACGGCCCAGACUCCUACGGGAGGCAGCAGUGGGGGAAUUUUGGACAAUGGGCGCAAGCCUGAUCCAGCCAUGCCGCGUGAGUGAAGAAGGCCUUCGGUU
rnacentral:rRNA from 1 species